rnacentral:rRNA from 1 species
CGGCUUCCAUGCAGGUCGAGGGGCAGCAUUUCAGUUUGCUUGCAAACUGGAGAUGGCGACCGGNUNCACGGGCUGAGUAACACGCUAUCCNACCUGCCGAUAACUCGGGGAUAGCCUUUCGAAAGAAAGAUUAAUACCCGAUGGUAUAAUCAGACCGCANGGUCUUAUUAUUAAAGAAUUUCGGUUAUCGAUGGGGAUGCGUUCCAUUAGGCAGUUGGUGAGGUAACGGCUCACCAAACCUUCNAUGGAUAGGGGUUCUGAGAGGAAGGUCCCCCACAUUGGAACUGAGACACGGUCCAAACUNAUACGGGAGGCAGCAGUGAGGAAUAUUGGUCAAUGGGCGCAGGCCUGAACCAGCCAAGUAGCGUGAAGGAUGACUGCCCUAUGGGUUGUAAACUUCUUUUAUAUGGGAAUAAAGUUUUCCACGUGUGGAAUUUUGUAUGUACCAUAUGAAUAAGGAUCGGCUAACUCCGUGCCAGCAGCCGCGGUAAUACGGAGGAUCCGAGCGUUAUCCGGAUUUAUUGGGUUUAAAGGGAGCGUAGGUGGACAGUUAAGUCAGUUGUGAAAGUUUGCGGCUCAACCGUAAAAUUGCAGUUGAUACUGGCUGUCUUGAGUACAGUAGAGGUGGGCGGAAUUCGUGGUGUAGCGGUGAAAUGCUUAGAUAUCACGAAGAACUCCGAUUGCGAAGGCAGCUCACUGGACUGCAACUGACACUGAUGCUCGAAAGUGUGGGUAUCAAACAGGAUUAGAUACCCUGGUAGUCCACACAGUAAACGAUGAAUACUCGCUGUUUGCGAUAUACAGUAAGCGGCCAAGCGAAAGCAUUAAGUAUUCCACCUGGGGAGUACGCCGGCAACGGUGAAACUCAAAGGAAUUGACGGGGGCCCGCACAAGCGGAGGAACAUGUGGUUUAAUUCGAUGAUACGCGAGGAACCUUACCCGGGCUUAAAUUGCAUUUGAAUANUNUGGAAACAGNUUAGCCGCAAGGCAAAUGUGAAGGUGCUGCAUGGUUGUCGUCAGCUCGUGCCGUGAGGUGUCGGCUUAAGUGCCAUAACGAGCGCAACCCUUAUCUUUAGUUACUAACAGGUCAUGCUGAGGACUCUAGAGAGACUGCCGUCGUAAGAUGUGAGGAAGGUGGGGAUGACGUCAAAUCAGCACGGCCCUUACGUCCGGGGCUACACACGUGUUACAAUGGGGGGUACAGAAGGCAGCUACCUGGUGACAGGAUGCUAAUCCCAAAAGCCUCUCUCAGUUCGGAUCGAAGUCUGCAACCCGACUUCGUGAAGCUGGAUUCGCUAGUAAUCGCGCAUCAGCCAUGGCGCGGUGAAUACGUUCCCGGGCCUUGUACACACCGCCCGUCAAGCCAUGAAAGCCGGGGGUACCUGAAGUACGAACCGCAAGGAGCUCCUAG